GUUAUGGCAUGACUGAAGCAAUGGGAAUUGCUUUUCACGUAGGUAAUGAUAGUCUGAUCACUGCGGCUGGUACUGUAUUGGUAAGGACCAGUCAGUCCUGGCACAGAGGUCAAGAUCAUAGAUCUUGUUAGUGGAGAAGAACUUUCUACAGACAGAGAUGGAGAAAUACUUGUUAAUUAGGUUUUCAGGUAAUGAAAGGACAUAUGGGGAACCCUGAGGCUACGGCACAAACUAUAACUGAACAGGGUUGGAUGCAUACUGGUGAUAUUGGACAUUUUGAUAAAGAUGGAUUGCUGUACAUUGUCGAUCGUCUAAAAGAAGUUAUCAAAUAUAAAACUUUUCAGGUUUCUCCAGCAGAAUUGGAAAGUUUAUUAUUGGAACAUCCUAAAGUAGCAGAUGUAGGAGUUAUUGGAAUUCACGAUUACGAAGCCGGUGAACUUCCGUAAGCUUUUGUUGUGAAGAAAGAUCAUUCUCUGGCAGACACAGAAGUCAUCUCUUGUGUAAAGGAAAACUUGGUUGAUUUCAAGCAUCUGAGAGGAGGCGUUGAGUUUGUAGAUAAGAUACCCAAAUCGUCACUAGCAAAGAUUUUACGACAGGAACUGAAGAAAAUGACUUUUGAAGCGUGAUAAACGUAUUCAAACACUACAUAUAGAUCAUGCUCUUUUGAUUGUUGGGUAUUUUUCUAUU